CCAAGCCCAAACGCUCACGUCCGGCCUAUCUCUUUUUUUUUUCCUUUUUUGCGUGGAGUCCGGCCUAUCUCCUUCCUCGAGCCCAGCGGCCGCCGUUUCCCGGUUUCUCCGUGCCGUGCCCAGCGGCCGCCGUUCUCUUCCUCCAUCGCCAGCGCACUACCUAGGUUCGGUCUCCCGUCAAAUUUGGCCACCUGUGCUCCGCGUACCUACAGCCCAUGCGUUGACCGACCAGUCUUCAGGCUCUCAUCGCAAGAUUAACGAUAGGAGGGCCCGAUAGAUCAGGAAGACAGCUCGGUGCAGCAGUAGCGUACGGCAUACCGGCGAGUCAAAGUGCUGAGAAUAAGAGGCUUCUCAGCACAUGUGAAGGGCGGAAAGGGGAUUGCUCUAUGUUGAUCUGCUGUAUAUGACGAACAAAUGAAGAACUAUCCUUGUGCAUUUGGAAUAAUCUGAUGAACGGGUCUUUAAGCUUACUUUUGGCAGCAAGGCUUCCUUGAGAUAAUCCUUGUCCAAUGUACAGUGAGUGCACAGAUUCUCCAAGAUCUCCAAUGCUACUAUCCUAGGUUGGCCGACGAAUCAAAAGCCAGUUCUGUAGUAUUUCUAUGGCACGCAUCUGCAGUUCUCUGCUCACAUUGUUCCCCUGAUCAAGAAAGCUCUCCAGGUUGCUCAGUGCCUGCUCGCUGGAAGAGAUUUCAUGGGUCAGCCUUUUGCCAUUCCACUCGGGAACACUACAUUAGUGAUCUAAACGCUCUUAUAUUUCUUUACACAGGGAGUAGUCGUCAUAGUUUAUGCAGCAUCGUCAUGGCGCUCAAAGUAGAAAGGGUAUUGUGGUAUGGCCAAGUAAAGGUUCCAGUUCUAGUUUAGUCCUGUAUUUAGCUGUUUUAGCCUCCACUCUGGCCCUCAAAGUGGACUACACGAACCAAUGGAAAUUUAUCAAAAAAAUCACAAAAUUGGAAAAUUUUGGCUCAAA